GAUCGCGGGAGAGCCCAAUCACAGGGCGAGCUGGACCUGGCUGUGAUCAUUUAUAAUCCUUGACUCCUCCGCUCCGCCACUUGUCAAGAUGACAGGGGUCAUCCAUGAAUAACACUUCAUGCUGAUGAAUGGCUCUUGCCGGCUUUCGACUCUGAUGAGGGGGUCUGCCGGCCGCUGAUUGCAAACACUAAUGAACUUACAGCGCCAUUUGAAAUUCACACGCACCAACAAAGUGAGGGGGUACGGUAGGCAUUUCGGGUCAGCUGAGUCACCCGAGGAGGUGGGAGAGCAAGACACUGCCUGGGAAGAUGGAUUCCUAGACAGAAGGGUGUAAUUAAGGAUUGCCACCCCUGGUAGGCGGCCCGCCCUUGAAGGAGCCUCUGAAAAUGACCUGCGUCUUUCCUUCUAGAAGUGUCCUCUUGUCGGGGACGAAAAGCACAAAUGACCUUCGGACUCCGGCAGGGGAGGGCUACACUGAACACUUAAGACUUCCUCCCAGGCGCCAGCUCUGUCCUGUUUAGAACAAGUGUCCGCCCCCAGACUCAAGUAGCUGGACCUCUAACCAGUACCCACUGUCAGGGGGCACGCUCAACAAACCUAAAGCCCACCACCACCAGCUCCAUCCCCGAUCUGUUUCUCCUUUCUUCCCUCAGAUUAUUAGCAGCACAACACCGCCCCUGCCACACUCCGUUUGCAGUGGGAGUCAGCCGGAAAAACUUUACCGCCCUAAGGACACUGCCACUUUGUAAGUUUAUGCCAAAACUCUACUCCGGGAAGCUCCAGCUCCGGGCCCCGCCCCCGCCCCCACCCUCACCCCUAGCUGCGGAAAGCCCACCCCGGGAGCCCUUUUUCACUGCCCAAAGCUCCUGCCAUUCGAGUUUUGGAACCCCAAAGGACUUUUACAGAAUCGCUCUCUGGCUCCCUGCCUCCCGCCACCUCCAGUCUCCUUUCUG
rnacentral:lncRNA from 1 species